rnacentral:rRNA from 1 species
UACGGAGGGUGCGAGCGUUGUCCGGAAUCACUGGGCGUAAAGGGCGCGUAGGUGGCGCGGGCAGUCAACGGUGAAAGUUCGGGGCUCAACCCUGAAUCGGCCGUCGAUACUCCCGGGCUUGAGCACUGUAGAGGCAGAUGGAAUUCCGGGUGUAGCGGUGGAAUGCGUAGAGAUCCGGAAGAACACCGGUGGCGAAGGCGGUCUGCUGGGCAGUAGCUGACACUGAGGCGCGACAGCAUGGGGAGCAAACAGG